UCAAAGAUUAAGCCAUGCAAGUGAAAGUAUAUAUAUAUUUAUUAUAUAGAAACUGCGAACGGCUCAUUAAAACAGUUAUAAUCUACUUGACAUUUUUUUUAUAAGGAUAACUACGGAAAAGCUGUAGCUAAUACUUGAACGAUUGUUCUUCAGUUCCCCAAAAAGGUUCUGUAGAACACGUAUUUGUUAAGCCUUAUAAGAAAAAAGUUAUUAACUUAAGGAAUUAUAACAAAGAAGUAACACAUAAUAAAACUUUGUUUUAUUUAGUGUAUAUCAAUCGAGUUUCUGACCUAUCAGCUUUUGAUGUUAGGGUAUUGGCCUAACAUGGCUAUGACGGGUAACGGGGAAUUAGAGUUCGAUUCCGGAGAGGGAGCCUGAGAAAUAGCUACCACAUCUAAGGAAGGCAGCAGGCGCGUAAAUUACCCAAUUCUAAAGAAGAGAGGUAGUGACAAGAAAUAACAAGGUAAGGUCAAAUUUUGGCUUUGCCAUUGGAAUGAUAGGAAUUUAAAAACUUCCUAAAGUAACAAUUGGAGGGCAAGUCUGGUGCCAGCAGCCGCGGUAAUUCCAGCUCCAAUAGCGUAUAUUAAAAUUGUUGCAGUUAAAACGCUCGUAGUUGAAUUUCAAAGAAUCAAUAAUUAGCGAAUACAAUAUCAGAUAUGUGUUAAAUAUAGUGCUUCGGCUUAUAUUUUCCACAUUUCUGAAUAUAUGUAUUGUUAAAAAUAUAAUAGGUUCUUUUAUAAAAAUUCUUCGUUGCUUUAUGUGAUGAGAAUUUUUUGUUACUUUGAGUAAAUUAGAGUGUUCAAAGCAGACGGUUUAUAAAACAGGUAAAACUGGGUUUGAAUACUACAGCAUGGAAUAACAAAAUUGAACAAGCUAAAAUUUUUGUUCUUUUUUCUUAUUUUGGCUUAGUUACGAUUAAUAGGAGUAGUUUGGGGACAUUCGUAUUCAGAUGUCAGAGGUGAAAUUCUUAGAUUUUCUGGAGACGAACAACUGCGAAAGCAUUUGUCUAAAAUACUUCCAUUAAUCAAGAACGAAAGUUAAGGGAGUGAAGACGAUCAGAUACCGUCGUAAUCUUAACCAUAAACUAUGCCAACUAGGUGUUGGAUGAAAGUGUAAAAAAUAAAAGAUGAUCUAAUGUAACAUUUAGAUUGUCUUUUAGCUUACUUCCUUCAGUACCUUAUGAGAAAUCAAAGUCUUUGGGUUCUGGGGCGAGUAUUCGCGCAAGCGAGAAAGUUAAAAGAAUUGACGGAAGGGCACCACCAGGCGUGGAGCUUGCGGCUUAAUUUGACUCAACACGGGAAAACUCACUAGUUUAAGACAAGAGUAGGAUUGACAGAUUAAUAGCUCUUUCUUGAUUUCUUGGAUGGUGAUGCAUGGCCGUUUUUAGUUCGUGAAUAUGAUUUGUCUGGUUAAUUCCGAUAACGAACGAGAUCUUAACCUGCUAAUUAGCGGUAAAUACAACAUAUUCUUAAGUAAAUAAGAAUAUAGAUAAAAAUAACAAAUAAGAGAAAAUAUUAGGAUGUUAUUAUAUAUAAUAUCCUUUUCCCUUUUCUUCUUAUUAUGUUUUUUUAUUCUAUUUCUUUUUUUACUUAAGAAUGUAUUUACUUGAUUGUAAAGCUUCUUAGAGGGACAUUGUGUGUCUAACACAAGGAAGUUUAAGGCAACAACAGG
rnacentral:rRNA from 1 species